rnacentral:misc_RNA from 1 species
UACGGAGGGUGCAAGCGUUAAUCGGAAUUACUGGGCGUAAAGCGCGCGUAGGUGGCUAAUUAAGUCGGUUGUGAAAGCCCCGGGCUCAACCUGGGAAUUGCAUUCGAUACUGAUUGGCUAGAGUGCAGAAGAGGAAGGUAGAAUUCCACGUGUAGCGGUGAAAUGCGUAGAUAUGUGGAGGAAUACCGGUGGCGAAGGCGGCCUUCUGGUCUGACACUGACACUGAGGUGCGAAAGCGUGGGGAGCAAACAGG